rnacentral:rRNA from 1 species
AUUGAACGCUGGCGGCAGGCCUAACACAUGCAAGUCGAACGCGUGGCGGACGGGUGAGUAAUGUCUGGGACACUGCCUGAUGGAGGGGGAUAACUACUGGCAACGGUAGCUAAUACCGCAUCCCAUCAGAUGUGCCCAGAUGGGAGUAGCUAGUUGGUGGGUUAACGGCUCACCAAGGCGACGAUCCCUAGCUGGGCUGAGAGGAUGAACAGACACACUGGAACUGAGACACGGUCCAGACGCCUACGUGAGGCAGCAGGGGGGAAUAGUGCACAAUGGGCGCAAGCCUGAUGCAGCCAUGCCGCGUGUAUGAAGAAGGCCUUCGGGUUGUAAAGUACUUUCAGCGGGGAGGCGUUACCCGCAGAAGAAGCACCGGCUAACUCCGUGCCAGCAGCCGCGGUAAUAC